rnacentral:rRNA from 1 species
GCGAGUGAAGCGGGAAAAGCUCAAAUUUAAAAUCUGGCGGUCUUUGGCUGUCCGAGUUGUAGUCUGGAGAAGCGUUUUCCGCGCUGGACCGUGUACAAGUCCCUUGGAAUAGGGCGUCAUAGAGGGUGAGAAUCCCGUCUUUGACACGGACUACCAGUGCUUUGUGAUGCGCUCUCAAAGAGUCGAGUUGUUUGGGAAUGCAGCUCAAAAUGGGUGGUAAAUUCCAUCUAAAGCUAAAUAUUGGCGAGAGACCGAUAGCGAACAAGUACCGUGAGGGAAAGAUGAAAAGCACUUUGGAAAGAGAGUUAAACAGUACGUGAAAUUGCUGAAAGGGAAACGAUUGAAGUCAGUCGCGUUGUACAGAACUCAGCCUGGCUUUUGCUUGGUGUAUUUUCUGUAUGACGGGCCAGCAUCAAUUUUGGCCGCUGGAAAAAGGCUUCAGAAAUGUGGCACCUUCGGGUGUGUUAUAGUCUGAGGUCAUAUACAGCGGCUGGGAUUGAGGUCUGCAGCACGCCUUUAUGGCUGGGGUUCGCCCACAUUCGUGCUUAGGAUGCUGGCGUAAUGGCUUUAAACGAC